UACGGAGGGAGCUAGCGUUGUUCGGAAAUACUGGGCGUAAAGCGCACGUAGGCGGCGCAGCAAGUCAGGGGUGAAAUCCCCGGGCUCAACCCGGGAACUGCGUCCGAUACUGGGGGGCUUGAAUCCGGGAGAGGGAUGUGGAAUUCCAGGUGUAGCGGUGAAAUGCGUAGAUAUCUGGAGGAACACCGGUGGCGAAGGCGACAUCCUGGACCGGUAUUGACGCUGAGGCGCGAAAGCCAGGGGAGCAAACGGG
rnacentral:rRNA from 1 species